GGUUGGUCCGAGUGCAGUGGUGUUUACAACUAAUUGGUCACAACCAGUUACAAAUUCCUUUGUUCCUUCCCUACUCCCGCUGCUUCACUUGACCAGCCUUAA
rnacentral:Y_RNA from 1 species